rnacentral:rRNA from 1 species
AGAGUUUGAUCAUGGCUCAGAUUGAACGCUGGCGGUAUGCUUAACACAUGCAAGUCGAACGGUAACAUGGGAGCUUGCUCCUGAUGACGAGUGGCGGACGGGUGAGUAACGCGUAGGAAUCUGCCUAGUAGUGGGGGACAACCAAGAGAAAUUUUGGCUAAUACCGCAUACGCCCUACGGGGGAAAGCGGGGGAUCUUCGGACCUCGUGCUAUUAGAUGAGCCUGCGUUGGAUUAGCUAGUUGGUGAGGUAAUGGCUUACCAAGGCGACGAUCCAUAACUGGUCUGAGAGGACGACCAGUCACACCGGGACUGAGACACGGCCCGGACUCCUACGGGAGGCAGCAGUAGGGAAUAUUGGGCAAUGGGCGCAAGCCUGACCCAGCAAUGCCGCGUGUGUGAAGAAGGCCUUAGGGUUGUAAAGCACUUUCAGGAGGGAAGAAAAGGUUAGGAAUAAUACGCCUAACUCAUGACGUUACCUCCAAAAGAAGCACCGGCUAACUCUGUGCCAGCAGCCGCGGUAAUACAGAGGGUGCGAGCGUUAAUCGGAAUUACUGGGCGUAAAGGGUGCGUAGGCGGUUAGAUAAGUUAGAUGUGAAAUCCCUGGGCUCAACCUGGGAACUGCCUCUAAAACUAUCUAACUCGAGUGCAGUAGAGGAAAGUGGAAUUUCCGGUGUAGCGGUGAAAUGCGUAGAUAUCGGAAGGAACAUC